UACGUAGGGGGCAAGCGUUGUCCGGAUUUAUUGGGCGUAAAGAGCGUGUAGGCGGCUUUACAGGUCCGUUGUGAAAACUCGAGGCUCAACCUCGAGACGCCGAUGGAAACCCCCGAACUAGAGUCCGGAAGAGGAGAGUGGAAUUCCUGGUGUAGCGGUGAAAUGCGCAGAUAUCAGGAAGAACACCCGUGGCUAAGGCGGCUCUCUAGUACGGUACUGACGCUGAGACGCGAAAGCGUGGGGAGCGAACAGG
rnacentral:rRNA from 1 species